AACUUAUAAAUGUAAAUACAGUUUUGUGUGUUUUCAAUGGGUUGCACCUAUUAUUCUUAGUGAUACUAAACUGCCCCAUGUUUGGCCAGAGGAAUCUCUUGAAGUUGUCUCCUGAGUCCUUUUAACAUGACCAUUAUCCUUGAUAGCAUCAUUGCUCUCCAGAAUGACAAAAUGUUCCAGAUCCAUACUGUUUAUUUUCUACCCUAGACAUGAAAUCGUGUUCUGUUUAUUUCAGUAUGAUAUUUAGAAACCACAAUCUGUGUGUUAAGGGUACCAAUUGCUAUUGUGUUGACAUUACUUCUAGUACUUUUUAUCAUACAGACCUGGAAAAUAUUUUUAAGAGAAGAUACAGCAACAAUAAUUUGGUCAAUAGCAUACUUUAUCCUGUAAGCACACAAAAUACAGUCGCAGAAAAAUAGUAUCAAUGUUAUCAUCACUAACAUAAUUACAUAAAACAGUUUAACAUUCUUCUGCUGUUCUUCUUGUUCUCGAACAGUAUCACCCUAAGGAUGACCAAAUACAUUCUUGAGUUUUAAUAUCAUUUGUAAUAAUUCCUUUUGGUAUAUUUAGGCUACCAACUCAAAAACAAUUUCUUUUGCUUCAGAUUUUUAAUGAUCACUUUUUAAAAACACUUCUCUAUAAUUGUGUAAAAAUAUUUUAAGUUUCCAAAAGUCCCCCUUAACAAAACAAGAUAUAAUCAGAUAAGCCAAGCUCAUGUCCAGCCACCUCUACCUUGUUCGCUUACUUUCCUUAUAGAUAAAUACCUUUUAAAGUUUAUUCUCUCAUAAUUUUCUUAAAUACAAUUAUUCAAAUAUGUGUCUAUAUUAGCAUUUCCUCUUUUUUUGAUAAAUGGUUUUAUAACAUAAACACUUUCUCCUCCUUGCUUUUUCCUUGGGAUUGUUCCAAUGCAGUUUUGUAGAGAUUUUUAAAUCUUCUUUACAACUGCAUAGUAUUUUAUCACGUGGAUUUACCAGUCAUUUACUUAAACAGAUCCCUCUGGGUGAAUAUUUGGUUUAUUUCUGAUAUUUUACUAUUACAGUUGGGCUGCAGUGAAUAUAGAAUGCAUCUGGGCGACAUUUCUCUUUUCACGUCUGCCAGUGUGUCCUUAUGAUGGAGUCUUAGAAGUGAGUAAAUGUAAGUUGGUUAGAUAUUGCCAAAUUCCCUUCCACAGAUGUGGUAUCAUUUUGCUUCCCACUAGCAGUGUAAGAGAGUGCCUGCUCUCCCACAACUUUGCCAACUGAGUAUAUUUUCCAAACUUCUGGAUUUUUGCCAAUCUGGUAUGUGAGAAAUGGACAGGAUAUUAUAUUUUGCUUUUCUCUUAUUAGGAGCAAGGCUGAGCAUAUUAUAAUUAGGAGCCAUUUGCUUUUCUUUUUUAAGAAACAGUCUGUUCAUUUCCCUAGCCCAUUUAUCUACCAAGUUGCAGUCUUUUUCUUCUCUAUUUUUAGAAGCUCUUUAUAUAUUAGACAUGUUCAACCUUUGUGAUAAAAGUUGCAGUUUUUCCCAUUCGUCAUUUUUCUUUACGUUGCUUAGAGUAUUUUCUCCUUGCAAACGUAUUUUUUUUAAUGCCAUCAAGUUUAACUUUUUCCUUAAUGCUUCUGGAUUUUGAUAAGUAGUUGAGACAGUUCUCCUCAUCCUAGCUAUUGGAGGAAAAUAUCCAUGUCUUCUCUUCAAACAUGUAUAGUUUCAUUUAUUUCACAUUUAGAUCUCCGAGUCUUUUGGAAUUUAUCCUGGCUUACAAUGUGAGAAAUGGAUCCAAUUUUAUCUUUUUCCAUAUGGCUAUUCACUUAUCCCAACACCACUUAUUUAAAAGUCCAUCUUUUCACCACCAAUCUGAAAUGUCACCUUUAUUGUGUAUUAAAUUUCCAUAUGCAAUUGGGUCUAUUUCUGGAAUUUCUAUUCAUUGAUCUAUCUAUUCGUGUGUGUAUAUCCUUCUGUAUUAAUUAUAAAGGCUUUAUAAUGUACUUAAAUAUCUGAUAUAGCCAACCCUUCCCAAACUCGUUGCUCUUCUUUUGCAAGAAUUCCUGACUACUCUAGCUUAUUUUUUCUUCUAAAUGGUAUUUUUGAAUGAUGUUACAUUUAUAAAUUAACUAAAGGAGAACUGACUGUUGUCUAUCCACAAAAGUGGUAUGACUUUCCAUUUCUUCAAGUCAACAUUUACAUUUUUCAGGAGUGUUUUUAGUUUUCUUCACAUAGAUUUUGUACAAUUUUUGUUUCUUUUUAUGCUUAGGUUUAUCAUUACUACUAUCUUAAAUAAAUCUUCUAUAUAUCCUCUAACUACUUUUAGUUUGUAUAUAUGAAGGUUGUUUAUGAUAAUUUUUUUUUCUAUCUACUACUUUACUAAAUUCUUCUAUCACUUGUGGUACUUUUUCCAUUGAGUUUUUUGGGAUUUCCAGAUAUAUACAUGUCUUCUGCUACUAGAUAUGUUUUUACUCUUCCUUUCUAUUUCUUAUGUAUGACAGAUUUUAUCCUAUUUGAUUUUUACUAAACACUCUAUGAGCAUUGCACAAAAAUAUUAAAUGGUCUUUGAAGUACAAUUUUAAUGGUAGCAUGUAUUUUACUAUUUGGAUACAUCACAACUUAUGUAGUCAUUUCCAACUUGAAAUUCAGGUUUCCUCUUUUUACUCUUAUAAAUAAGGAUGCAAUGAAUAUUUUUUGUUUAAAUAUAUUUGUGCUUCUGAUUAGAUCUUUAGUGAAUAUUCAUAGAAGAGGAGUCACUACAUCAAAUAGCAUGCCAAAUUUUAAGAGUUUUUAAAUAUGUAACUGACAAAAUUCCCUCCAGAACCGAUGAACCAAGGUAUACUUGAACCAGCGGGUGUGUCUUCCUUCACUACAUCCUCACAAAUCUAGGUAUUUAAAGAGUUAACGACAGCUCAGUAGGCAAACAAUACCUCAUCAUUAUAUGACAGGUUAGUUGAGCAAUCUCAAUUCAACGUAGGUAUAUCCAUGAAGCAAUUGUAUCAGAGAAAGGGAGUGUGAGGGAAUACGGCCAGUACAUUCUACUUAUAUGGACACAAUAGCAAUAUUUUUCCUGUGGGGUGUUACUACUUUUCUUAUUUAGACUAAGCAGACAUUGAUAUCUCUGCAUGGCAGGCAUUGAGGUUCUGGUUCUUCCAAGGAGUGAUGUAGUCUUUUUGGUCUUUUAGAGCUCCCAUUGACACACUUUCCUGCUCUGGGAAAUCAGGCUUAAUCUCAAUCUCUGUAUCUCCUCUCAGUCUCCAUCACUGGAAUCAUCUCACCCACUGGGCAGGCUUUUUGAGCAUGUGAAUACUAGCUACAGUUUCUGGUGUCCUUAUGACUCACUAGAAAUGUAUGCAUCCUUGGGGAUACCCAUUGGUGGAAGUGCAGGCUGCUCCUUGACCACCCCAUCUUGUAACUUUCUUGCAUUUCUCAUCCCUAAUUAGAUAGGCACAGCAGCAGAUCAGAAAGCCUGUUCAUCCAGAAGCAGAGUUCUAGCCAGGAAAGUGAAUACCAGUCUGCAACUUCAACCUCAAUGGGUGACUAUCUGUGAAGCUCCUCUGCUGGGGGAGAGUGGGCAGCCUCUCCCUUGCCCACUGGGAGAAAAGGGAGUGACCCCGGGAAUGCACUUGGUAAAUAGGAGUUCAAUAACUGUUUGUUGAAGAAAGAAAAGAACUAUGGUGGGUCAGAUGAGAGACAAAAAUCACUCUGCAGAGAUACAGCAUGCAGGAGACCACCUCUGAGACUGAGGCAAGAGUGUGCCUGAAAUGCCAGGGGUUCGAUCUAGGUCCUGCUGUUCCCUGACACAGAAAGCCAAUGACUGACACAAUGAGUAUUGCCAAAGAAGAAGGCUUUCAUCGAGUGCUGCAGCCAAGGAAAUGGAAGAUCAGUUUCAAAUCCAUCUCCCUGAACAACUAAAAAUAGAGGUUUCUACAGCAGGGAAGAAAUGUGACUAUGCAUGGGAAAACAGGAAUUAGGGAGGGGUCAUGAGGCAAUCAUGAUGAAUGAGGGGUCUGACAUCCCAUUGGCUGGAUGUGGUUACAUGAUGAGUUUCUGUUCUUUGACACUUUUUGAAAGGCCUGAGGGCCCUUUCCUUACAAAGAAACUCAGAUAAAACCAAUGUGAGUUUCAAGCUUUAAGACCAGAAGAGUCCAUUUCUAUGUUACUAUAGGAAAAGAAAAAAACUGCCUAUGGGACUAUUGGGUUGGUUUCAAGAGGUUAUCUGAAAGGCAAGGCGGCCUCCAUAACUGCUUAUUUUCUUUUCUUUUGAAACUGUCAUUGUCUUCCCAACAUCUAGGCUUAUGAUCAUAUGGGUAAGCUUAGAUCAUACAUUCUGUCUACUCUACCCAGACCAGAAUCAUACAAUCAAAGACAUACAGAGUCAACUAGGUAAUAUAAGUGAGCAGAGUUGGACUGGAGUAAGGUCCAUGGAGGACUGCAACUAAACGGGUACAUCUUGUCUGGAGUUGGACUAAAUCAUUGUGAAGCUUUAAGUCAGAUUUUCUUAGUGUGUUAUUUAUACACCCUCCUGGCAUAUGAGUGACAGGAAAGUCAAAGUCAUUGACUCUCUAAUAUUUAUUGAGCACCUUCAAAUACUUUUUGAGUAUCUACUAUUAUUGGGCACCUACAAACACUUAUUGACCAUGUGCCAAGCACAGUGCCUAGCAAGUUCUUCUUUUCUAAUCAAAUCAACAGGUUGGACAUCCCUACCCAAGGCUCAAAUGGUAACAGGUCCAUGCCUUACUUGUGUCAGUUCUCUUAUUGAAAGAGCAUCUCCUAACCAUCCUACCAAUAAGGUAAAGGUGUUAUUUUGAAUCUGAAUCAAAAUGAACCUUCUCCAUAAAUCUCUUCCUCACUAGCUGGCCCAUACCUUAUUACCUUUUCUGGGUCCUUCCCUUAAUAAUUAGCACUGAGCUCACAAUUAUUGCUUUUUCUCUUAACAUGUUGCUUUGUAAUUGUCUCCAAGAUCCCCUCCUAUUUUUAUAUAUCCAAUUUACUAAAUCAUUCCUAUUUCUUCAGCAGCCCUGAAUGCAGCGCACUGUGAUUCAAUAAAUGUUUGUUAAUGAAGGGAA
rnacentral:lncRNA from 1 species